UAGAAGCCAACUGGAACAAAGCCUUCAGAUAGCUUGGCACAGGAGUAAAACCCAACACGCUUUCCUGAAUAGAGAAAUUUUACCCCUCAGAGUAUUUUACCCCUUUACCAAUGUCAAUCAUCAUUAGGUUUGGUCAGCCUACUGCCUAGAACCGUCAUCAGUCAGGGAGCUGUCUUGUGCGUUGUAGGAUGUUCAGCAGAAUCCCUGGCUUCUACCCACUACAUGCCAGUAGCACCCCCUCUCCAGUUGUGACAACUGCAAAAUGUCUCCAGACAUUGUACCUCGAGGGAUAGAAUUGCCCCCAGUUGAGAACAAUGAAACUAAAAGGAUGAAGAAGAAAGAGGAGGAGGAGGAGAAAAAGAAGGAGGGAGAGGAAGGGAAAAGCGGAAGAGAAAGAGAAGGAGAAGGAAGAGGAGGAAGAAGGGAGGAAGAAGAAAAGGGGAAGAAGUGGAAAGAGAAGAAGGAACAUUUAUAGGAGGCAAUUUGACUUAACAGGGCACUAUACUAUGUGUCAAGCGAUCAGUGUUCUGACCACUGUUUCCCAGUUUCUCCAAUAAGCAAUGAUAAUGUGUCACAUCAUUUAAUUUCCUUGGUUCUCAGCUUUUUCAUUUGUCGAAUAAGAAUAUUAGACUUAAUGAUCUCAAAUCUACUUUUUAGCAUUGCUAUUCUCUAUUAGGUGGAGCACAAAAGAAAUUGAACGAAGAAACUCCCUGAUCUGCCUUCAAAUUUUGCAAAUAUC
rnacentral:lncRNA from 1 species